rnacentral:rRNA from 1 species
GAUGAACGCUGGCGGCGUGCCUAACACAUGCAAGUCGAGCGAUUUACUUCGGUAAAGAGCGGCGGACGGGUGAGUAACGCGUGGGUAACCUGCCCUGUACACACGGAUAACAUACCGAAAGGUAUGCUAAUACGAGAUAAUAUGCUUUUAUCGCAUGGUAGAAGUAUGAAAGCUUUUGCGGUACAGGAUGGACCCGCGUCUGAUUAGCUAGUUGGUAAGGUAACGGCUUACCAAGGCGACGAUCAGUAGCCGACCUGAGAGGGUGAUCGGCCACAUUGGAACUGAAACACGGUCCAAACUCCUGCGGGGGGCAGCAGUGGGGAAUAUUGCACAAUGGGCGAAAGCCUGAUGCAGCAACGCCGCGUGAGCGAUGAAGGCCGUCGGGUCGUAAAGCUCUGUCCUCAAGGAAGAUAAUGACGGUACUUGAGGAGGAAGCCCCGGCUAACUACGUGCCAGCAGCCGCCGUAAUAC